rnacentral:rRNA from 1 species
AGUGAACGCUGGCGGUAGGCCUAACACAUGCAAGUCGAACGGCAGCACAGUAAGAGCUUGCUCUUACGGGUGGCGAGUGGCGGACGGGUGAGGAAUACAUCGGAAUCUACUUUUUCGUGGGGGAUAACGUAGGGAAACUUACGCUAAUACCGCAUACGACCUACGGUUGAAAGCAUGGGAUCUUCGGACCUUGCGCGAUUGAAUGAGCCGAUGUCGGAUUAGCUAGUUGGCGGGGUAAAGGCCCACCAAGGCGACGAUCCGUAGCUGGUCUGAGAGGAUGAUCAGCCACACUGGAACUGAGACACGGUCCAGACUCCUACGGGAGGCAGCAGUGGGGAAUAUUGGAAAAUGGGCGCAAGCCUGAUCCAGCCAUACCGCGUGGGUGAAGCAGGCCUUCGGGUUGUAAAGCCCUUUUGUUGGGAAAGAAAAGCAGCAGGUUAAUCCCCCGCUGUUCUGACGGUACCCAAAGAAUAAGCACCGGCUAACUUCGUG